UUCCACUUAUUGGCAUCGAAUUAAUCGUAUUCAUUGGCAGAUAUGUACCCCGCUAGCACAGUAUGCUUGUAUCGGUAGACGACGGUGACGGUGGGUCCCAGCUUCUUUACUGACGGUACGGCGGAGAUGUGCUUCCUGACCUAGAUCUGGGAAGCGAAGAAAGAUUGGGGGAUGUGAUUGUUUAUCUGCCUGCGACUCUACGUUCCUCCGUUGCCGCCGCCAGGAAUUGUGGGGAUAUAGGUUCCUAGAUCUAGAUUUCAGUUCCUUCAUUUGGUGUUUUUGAUGUUGCGGUUCUUGGAUUUAUUAGUUGAUUCACUCAAUCCGACUACGCAUCUCCAGUUUUCAUGUUAUUUAUCGUCCAGCGUUGGAAUUUUUUGGGUUCGGUUUAUUUCAGGAACUAUGGAUCUGGGGGAGGGCAUGAACAAGGAGUGCUACAUCUCAAUGCAAUCAGUGGGGAGAGGAGCAGACUAAGCUCACGUAACAUGGUUGCUAAUGAAGCCGAGCAGACUAAGCUCACCGUUGCCCGCACCGCUGAAGUAAACGAAGGUAUGGUUGUUGGAUCGGAAGAGGACAAUCAAACUGAAAACUGCGAUGACAGUACUGCAAAUCGACAUGGAGCUAACACUGAGGAAGCCAUUUCGGAUCGAUAUCUGGAAUUUAGUACGGAGACCUUAACACAGCCAUAAGCAGUUUUCAAUAGAAGGGAGCUGGAGUUUGGUUUAACAUUACCGGACGAAUCCAUAGGAACUAGCUGUUUCGUUGAUAGUUCCAUUAACUUUGGUGGUAGUUACUGCUCUGACGGUAUUUCUAAGGUUUCCUUCUCGAGAACAAUUUCCAAUUACCAGCUGGAGGAAGAUUGUGGGGCAACGGAUGUGACAUCGCAAGUAAGGGAAUUUAAUGGUGGUCUAAUAGAAGAGUCAAUGAGGAAAUAUUGUGAAGAUAAAAAAAGUGUCAUGUUCGAGCCUGCUGUCGGAAUGGAGUUUUCAUCUACAGAGGAAGCAUUCCAGUUCUACAACAUGUACUCCUGGGUUUUAGGGUUCAGCAUCAGAUUAGGUGAUAACUACACAACCAAGACAAAGCAAAGGACAAUGCAAAAAUAUCUUUGCCAGUGACAGGGCAAUGGUGAUGAGACCAAAAAUUCAACAACCAGGUGUGGUUGCAAAGCAAUGAUGAGGGUGGCAACAAAUGAAAGCUGUAAGUGGUAUGUGAAAAAGAUUAUUGUUGAACACAACCAUGAUAUGGUUGAGAGUUGUGGAGAAAGAAAAAAAUUGGCUUCACAUAGACAGAUAGACAGGCACACAAAGGAGAUGAUAAGGCAGAUUAUUAUUUCCUUUAAGUAGUCGACUUUAUUUAUUUGCAAAAAUAACAACUAAAUUAGCAGCAGGGGUUCAGUUCAAAAUCAAGCGUAGUAGCAAUUGCUAAGUACCAUAAUUAUUGCUGACAGAUAAUUACAGAAUCUCAAACAACAGGAAUCCACAAAGGUAUGUUUCAAUUAUGUAUUAAAAGAGUUGUAUCCAGUUACUAAUAUUUAUUGAAUUUACUGCUUCAUACCUGACCCACUACUACAUAAUUCCCCUGUGUGUUGUCCUUGGCGUCUCCAUCUCACCAGAUCUGGUGAAGCAACGAUUCAUCGUCUCCUUCUCUAUUUAUUCUGCUGAAGAAAAACUUUAUCUCGAAAGAAUCUUCUUUCUUACAGAGGUAAGAACAUGUGUUUAUAGAACUAGUUCGAUGUAUUGUGAUGCUUACAUUAUAUUAAACUUUGUUGUAUUACAUUUUUUAUGGCCACGUAUGAUUCUCCAAUAUCUGUGCGACGGAAUUUAAUGGUUCUUUCAAAUUGUCUACCAUACAUAUAUGUGAGUCAUAUAUAUUGUCUUAAAUAAAUAUAUAUGUUGAUCGUGAGAUAUGAAUCUUUGAUCCAAUGCUUGUUGAGUAAAGUAUGAAUGUUCUGAAAGAUCCUAAUAUAGUUUAGGUUAAAGAGAAUAGUAAUACUUCAAACUUAGACAUUUCCAAUGUUUUCUUGAAGAGUCAUAUUGCAAUGUGAUGUUAACAAAUUCAUCGUAUCGUUCCUCAUAUUGAAUAGCCCAGUAUUGCUGUCAUAUGCGAAGAAUGUGUUUGACAUAAUAAUUAUAGAUGGAACACAAUUCCUCUACAAAUAUAUAAUUUAUGAAUGGAACAUUAUAGGAUACAGUGUAUUCGUUUCCUCUUCAAUCUAGAAAAAAGAUGUUCUCCUCCAGUAUUGUAUUGCCGCUAUUAAAUAAUGAGCUCCAUAUGGUGUUCAUUGACUUGGGAAAGGCGUGUGAUA